UACGUAGGUGGCAAGCGUUGUCCGGAUUUAUUGGGUUUAAAGGGUGCGUAGGCGGCUUUGUAAGUCAGCGGUGAAAUACUCUAGCUUAACUAGAGGGGUGCCAUUGAUACUGCGGAGCUUGAGUACAGAUGAGGUAGGCGGAAUUGACGGUGUAGCGGUGAAAUGCAUAGAUAUCGUCAAGAACACCGAUAGCGAAGGCAGCUUACUGGGCUGUAACUGACGCUGAUGCACGAAAGUGUGGGGAUCAA
rnacentral:rRNA from 1 species